rnacentral:lncRNA from 1 species
CCGCUUACACUAUGUACGUAAGCAUUUCUCAUUUUUUGUCAUUUCCCGGUCCCGCUAGACCUAAUUCCUGUUUUCCGACACAAUAAUUUGACUUUCACGUGUACGCUUACAAAAAAUCGGCAAUCCCGCGUCACGCUUAGACCCCAAUGAGACCCACUACUUAUACCUCCAAUCAUUCUGAGAAGAAUCUAGAGAGACAGAGUCCCUUACUUAUACCUCCAGUCAUUCUGAGAAGAAUCAAGAGAGACAGAGUCCCUACAAAUACCUCCAUCAUUCUGAGAAGAAUCAAGGAGACGGAGUCCCUUGGCAAUCAUUCUGAGAAGAAUCUCAGAGAGAGACAAGCUUAUACCUCCAGUCAUUCUGAGAAGAAUCAAGAGAGACAGAGUCCCCUGGAUUAUACCUCCAGUCAUUCUGAGAAGAAUCAAGAGAGACAGAGUCCCUUGCCUUAUACCUCCAGUCAUUCUGAGAAGAAUCAAGAGAGACAGAGUCCCUUGGCUUAUACCUUCAAUCAUUUUAUCAAAAACAUGCAAGUCAAAAGAGAAAGAUGAUGAGUUAACAGAUUUUGGACAAACACUAAAUGUUCAUAUUUAAAAAUGUUCUUCAAAAUUCAUAAUUUUAAAAAUCAUAAUUUUAAUCAGUAUUAUCCAUGAACUUAUACAAUUUAUCAUGUAUGAUGUAAAUUUGAUGAAUUCACAAGUUGUUUACAUACUAACCAUAUGUAACAACACUUUGUAGAGUGUCAGUCUCAUCAAACUUUAUACAACCAGAUGCUCCGCAGGGCGCCACUUUAUAUGACCGCAGAGAUCUAACCCUGAACAGUUGGGGCAAGUAUGAACACAACAUUCAAGGUUGAUACAGCUCUGAAUGUGGAUUAUGAUUAAAUGUUGACACAACAUAGGUUUCUGACACAGAAUGAAUGUGGUCUAAGAACUUAAACUUGAAAAUUUUAAAUUGGACAUUUACCUAUUAUGGUCCAAUAUCCAAAAUCUAAUGGUUAGAUUCAGCAUAUCAUAGAAUCCCAAGAAUUCAAUUUUUGAUGAAAUUAAAUAAUGUUCAAUUUAAGACCCUUUGGACCACAAUGUGGACCAAUUUGAUAACCUGGCCCAAAUAUUAAAAAUCUAAAUACAUGGUUAGAUUCAGCAAAUUGAAGAACGCCCAUAUAUUCAAUUUUUGUUGAAAUCAAACAAAGUUUAAUUUUUUACCCUUUGGACCUGAAUGUAGACCAAUUUGAAAACAGGACAAUACUGUGCAAUUGAAUAUUUCUUGCUAUUGCGCAAAACUGUGCAAUUGAAAAUUUCUUGCUAUUGCGCAAUAUUGUGCAAUUAGAUAUUUCUUGCUAUUGCGCAAUACUGUGCAAUUGAAGAUUUCUUGCUAUUGCACAAUACUAUGCAAUUGAAGAUUUCUUGCUAUUCCACAAUACUGUGCAAUUGAAAAUUUCUUGCUAUUGCACAAUACUGUGCAAUUGAAAAUUUCUUGCUAUUGCGGAAUACUGUGCAAUUGAAAAUUUCUUGCUAUUGCACAAUACUUAAUAUUAAUAAUUUUGGACCCUGAUUUGGACCAACUUGAAAACUGGGCCCAUAAUCAAAAAUCUAAGUACAUGUUUAGAUUCAGCAUAUCAAAGAACCAAAAGAAUUCAAAUUUUUAAAAUCAAGCUAAGUUUAAUUUUGGACCCUUUGGACCUUAAUGUAGACCAAU